rnacentral:rRNA from 1 species
GCCAACAGCCAUACUACGCUGUGAAUGCACCGGUUCUCGUCCGAUCACCGAAGUUAAGCAGCGUUAAGCGCGGUUAGUACUUGGAUGGGUGACCGCUUGGGAACCCCGCGUGCCGUUGGUA